rnacentral:lncRNA from 1 species
AUGAUCUCUUCCAUCGGUCUUGUUUGUGGAAUCCAGUAGACAGACCAUUUUGCCACAACUGGUAGCACCAGUGUCUUUGAUUUCUCCAUCUAGAUUUCCCUCGGGCUACUCCAGCAUGGGGUGCUGCAGUGGCUGAUGGUUUGAAUAGGGCAGCAUUUGUUGUUUACUGGAAAAGCAGGCCAUAUUCUUUGUUUUUUUUUUUUUUUUCUUUUACUGAAAGGCAGGCAAUAUUUUUUUCUUCAAAUCCAAAUAUCCCCUCUUUCUUUUCUUCAGUCAACCAAAAAUUCACUUUCUCUUUUCUAAAAUAAAAAUGUAUUUCUUUGGCAUGUUUCGGGGGGGGGUACUUUUUAUUUGUUUGAUUUCUGAUUACAUUCAUCUUACGUAUUUACUCUGAAGUGGAAGUUUUAACUUUAUUUUAAUUUUCUGUAUUGGUUUUCCUUGAUACUUUCAUGAGUUUUCCAUUAUAUUUUCCAGAUCAAGUCCAGAAAGAAAUGGCUAGGAUGAUGGCUCUGUUCAAGGAUGAUUGGAGGAGAGAACAGUUCCAGAAUGGUGAGUCUGUGCUGGUCCAACAGAGGCCCUGCUCAUUGUGGGGGAGUGUCAGGGGAGGACGGGUGCAGGGGAGCUUCGCAAAAGGGAGACCCUCUGGCCCAAGCCUACUGACCUUUCCCAGAAACGUGAUGACCACUUUUCUUUGCACUAACUCUGACUCUGGAUGCAGCCAGAUAUGAUGGCAAGUCCCAUUGAUAGUUUUCACAUCAUUGUAUUUUUGGCAUGCUCCAUCUGUUUCUUUACCACGUGUCUUUGAUGCUCAGUGAUCAACUUUCUCAACACCAACCUACACAUAUAAACUUAUGUGUAAACGCCCCCUACAUGUAUACCGUGACAUCUUAAGGUUUUCAUUUCGUUGUUAUUUCAACUGACAUUUAUCAUCCUCGCAUGUUAUUCCUUGGAUUUUUCGUAUCCUUGCUUCUCAAGCAGAAAAUUCCUUUUCACCAAAUAUAGCCUAAUAAUAAUUAACUUGUAAAAUUUUGCUGAUUUCAAGUUUCUUUGUCCAAAAUAUUUUCUGUCAUUUGACUGAGAAGCCCAUUCACUGCGAAUUAAUUUUAUGUCUUUUCCUUUCAUCUGAC